rnacentral:lncRNA from 1 species
UGGCUGGCUACCAAGCACUUGGCUAAAUUGUUCUUGUGAAGAGAAGAACAGGACAACACUGUAGAGCAUGGGGUCUGAUGUGGAGUAGAGAAAUCCUAUUCCUGCAUUGGCUUGCCUUGUAGUUGACGAUGAGAGUGGAGUGACAGAUUAUGGACCUGACCUGUAUUGUCCUCAUUCACCACACUUUGGUUUUGUCUUCAGGGAAAAGUGAAGGUGGCAGGUUGCUGAUCACUUUAGACCAGGACCUUUGGUCAGUAAGGAGCUUGCUUUCCCCCAAGGUUGAAUUCCUGUCAACAAGGUGGUUCAUUGACAUUUUGCUGUGAAGAUGGAAGAAAUGUGCCUGUAGCAACAUAGCAAUGGCAAGAUUGCUCUCCUCGUCUCUGCUGAUAUAGACUUGCAGAACUGUGCUGUAAGCCAACUCAUGAAAUCAUCCAGGUUUAAAAAAAAAAUAAAAUCCUUUUUCUGGUUUCUAUGCA